rnacentral:rRNA from 1 species
AACGGAUUAUUCUUUAUAGCUUGCUAUAAAGAAUAAUUAGUGGCAGACGGGUGAGUAAUGCAUAGGAAUCUACCUAGUAGUAUGGGAUAGCCACUAGAAAUGGUGGGUAAUACUGUAUAAUCCCUGCGGGGGAAAGAUUUAUCGCUAUUAGAUGAGCCUAUGUUAGAUUAGCUAGUUGGUAGGGUAAAGGCCUACCAAGGCGAUGAUCUAUAGCUGGUCUGAGAGGAUGAUCAGCCACACUGGAACUGAGAUACGGUCCAGACUCCUACGGGAGGCAGCAGUGGGGAAUAUUGGACAAUGGGCGCAAGCCUGAUCCAGCUAUGCCGCGUGAGUGAGGAAGGCCUUAGGGUUGUAAAACUCUUUCAGUAGGGAAGAUAAUGACGGUACCUACAGAAGAAGUCCCGGCAAACUCCGUGCCAGCAGCCGCGGUAAUACGGAGGGGGCAAGCGUUGUUCGGAAUUAUUGGGCGUAAAGGGCAUGUAGGCGGUUCGGUAAGUUAAAGGUGAAAUGCCAGGGCUUAACCCUGGAGCUGCUUUUAAUACUGCC